ensembl:lncRNA
GUCACAAUCAUGAGUUAGUCAAUUAUUCAGUUUAUCAAUUCAACUUUAUUUGUUUAGCACCUUUCACACAGAUGACAAAACUAAACAAGCAAAGAGAAAAAACUAUGCUAAAACUAUGAUUAAAACUCAGAAACAUUUUUAAAAAAUAAUAAUAAUAAUAAAGUAUGUGUCCAGGGGAUGGAGGGAGUUUAUUGAAGUCUUCUUGGGCUCACAUGGUAAAUCAUUUAAAAUAUAAACUUGAUAUUCAGUCUAAGGAAACUGGAAACUGCAGAGCGACAGAAGAACCAACAAUAUCUCCUGUUUUCUCCUUUAAUGAGUCGACUCUUCUUGUGCUUUCAGACAAAAGAACUACAGACUCUUCACAACCUGCUCAAACUCUUGGUACAGGACCUCACCACACGGGUCAAGAAGGUUGCUUUGUAGAACUGUUCCAGAAAACCUCACUAAACCACAUGGAGGGGCCUCAAGAUAGUCGUCCAAAUGAAACCGUACAAAAACCAAACUAGCACAAGCCAAACGCUAAAGUCUCCUGCAGCCUACCAGAGAACCUCUGAGAACAGAGAAUCAGGACAGGAACUCUUACCUUCUGGACAACCAACGUUGGUUCAUAAACAAGAAUACAGAAUGUGUCUGACCAAAAACCUCUGAAGACUCACUACAGCCAAGAUAAAGACACAACUCAGCUGCACCAAAUCCACUAAUCACUGCACACAUUAGCACCAUGUGCUAACUGUGGCUAAAGAACCACAUUUACCAAGACAACUAUCCAGUACAAAGCCCUAAAACACACCAAGAAACACAUUAAAGACGAUUUUACUGCUGGAAGCUGCAAGCCAACGCCUAAAGAACAAACUGAAGCAAUGGAGCCAAACACAGCUCAGUGGUGAAGAGAAGCAGAGGAAAUGUUUGGCUGCAGCUAAAUAAAGCAGGAAGAGACUGAGCUGCUCAGGUGUUCCUGAUAACGCCUAGCAGCCACCUGGACAGCCAAUAGGAACACAGCUUACUGGAAGUCCAGAGGGCUGGGUUAGUGAAGUAAAUUUAGUUUAAAAUUGAGGCAGAAAGUUAAUAAAGAAAGUUGAAAACCACCUUCUGCUACCUGAAAUCUCUGAGUUUUCACACAAAGAACACCUGAACAUGUCAAACUGGUUCCAUAGUAGAACCCUCAUUGUAAAAACGUCAUAGUAUGGUGUGUUGCUCAAAAAACAUUACCACCCGG